GACUCUCGGCAACGGAUAUCUCGGCUCUCGCAUCGAUGAAGAACGUAGCGAAAUGCGAUACUUGGUGUGAAUUGCAGAAUCCCGUGAACCAUCGAGUCUUUGAACGCAAGUUGCGCCCUACGCCGUCAGGCCGAGGGCACGCCUGCCUGGGCGUCACGCACAAGAGUCGCACCCCAACCCCUCGGGGAGACGGGAGCGGAAGCUGGCCCCCCGUGCACCCGUGCGCGGUCGGCCCAAACAAAGGCUCGCGGCGCGCACCGUCGCGAUCUGUGGUGGUCGACAGCAACCCUGCCGAAACCAGAUCACGCGGCAUGCGCUACGCAAGGGCCAUCGGAACCCAAUAGGGCCGUCUCGGCGGCAUCCACUCU
rnacentral:misc_RNA from 1 species